rnacentral:rRNA from 1 species
UACAGAGGGGGCAAGCGUUGUUCGGAAUUACUGGGCGUAAAGGGCGCGUAGGCGGCCUUCUAAGUCGAACGUGAAAUCCCUGGGCUCAACCCAGGAACUGCGUCCGAUACUGGAAGGCUUGAAUCCGGGAGAGGGAAGCGGAAUUCCGGGUGUAGCGGUGAAAUGCGUAGAUAUCCGGAGGAACACCGGUGGCGAAGGCGGCUUCCUGGACCGACACUGACGCUGAGGCGCGAAAGCUAGGGGAGCAAACGGG